rnacentral:lncRNA from 1 species
CCUUUAUAAACCUCCAUUAGCAGAGCUUAGGCCGGCAGCAGUCAGAAAUGUCUGCUGGAGAAGACACUGCAAAGUGUCAGUGAGGGCGUUUGAGAAUUAAUUUUACCCUAGAGUAGCUGCGCAGGUCUGUUUAGCACUCACCUCUACAGUUUUGAACAUUCGAUAACACCAGAAUCAGUCUGAUGCCUUGAACACUUUACAUGAAGGGUUUUUCAAAAUCUAGCCACAAACAGAUAUGACCAGAUUUCAAAAAAUUUUGAGAAACUAGGAGGAAUCUAUUUUGACAAAGCCAAGCCACACAUAGGAUAGAGGCAGACAUGCGUGCCCUGGAAAGAAGAAAGUAGAAGGAUCAACUAAAAGAGCUCUCCCACUAAAUGGCUGUGGGCUCCUCUAAGAAACUGAAACAUGGAAGAAGGAAGGACCAGCCAGCCAGAACAGCAGUGGGUAUCAAGGAAUGAUAUAAAAGCAAGCUCAAGACAGUCAAGAUUCAAGGAGCUAUAUACCUUGCUUCCUUUCCAGAGCUGAAAUUUGAGUCAAGAGUCCAUUUCUUCCAUCUGGCCAGAUGAUCUCCAGGAUACUCUCAUGAGUGGAAGCAGCCUGUGGCCCUCGCCAGAUGCAGAUGCCCAAUCUUGAACUUUUCCAGACAUCAUGAGCCAAAUAAACCAUUUUUCUUUAUAAAUUACCCAGCCUCAGGUAUUUCUUUAUAGCAACACAACAUGGAUUAAGACUGGGAGUUAGGAAAAAACAAUCAAGGAUGACUCUGAGUUUUAG